rnacentral:sRNA from 1 species
AAAAACAAAACAACAAAAAAAACAGAAAA